GAUGAAGAACGUAGCGAAAUGCGAUAAGUAAUGUGAAUUGCAGAAUUCAGUGAAUCAUCGAAUCUUUGAACGCACAUUGCGCCCGCCAGUAUUCUGGCGGGCAUGCCUGUUCGAGCGUCAUUUCAACCAUCAAGCCCCCGGGCUUGUGUUGGGGACCUGCGGCUGCCACAGGCCCUGAAAAGCAGUGGCGGGCUCGCUGUCACACCGAGCGUAGUAGAUUUUAUCUCGCUCUGGGCGUGCUGCGGGUUCCGGCCGUUAAACCACCCUUUUAACCCAAGGUUGACCUCGGAUCAGGUAGGAAGACCCGCUGAACUUAAGCAUAUCAAUAAGCGGAGGA
rnacentral:misc_RNA from 1 species